rnacentral:rRNA from 1 species
GAUGAACGCUGGCGGCGUGCCUAAUACAUGCAAGUCGAGCGAACAGACGAGGAGCUUGCUCCUCUGACGUUAGCGGCGGACGGGUGAGUAACACGUGGAUAACCUACCUAUAAGACUGGGAUAACUUCGGGAAACCGGAGCUAAUACCGGAUAAUAUAUUGAACCGCAUGGUUCAAUAGUGAAAGACGGUUUUGCUGUCACUUAUAGAUGGAUCCGCGCCGCAUUAGCUAGUUGGUAAGGUAACGGCUUACCAAGGCAACGAUGCGUAGCCGACCUGAGAGGGUGAUCGGCCAGCCUGGCACUGAGACUCGGUCCAGACUCCUACGGGAGGACGCAGCAGGGAAUCCUACGCAAUGGGGGAGAGCCGGACGGAGCAACGCCGCGUGAGUGCUGACGGUCUUCGGAUCGUAAAACUCUGUUAGUAGGGAAGAACAAAUGUGUAAGUAACUAUGCACGUCUUGACGGUACCUAAUCAGAAAGCCACGGCUAACUACGUG